AUUGAACGCUGGCGGCAGGCUUAACACAUGCAAGUCGAGCGGGGGAAGGUAGCUUGCUACCGGACCUAGUGGCGGACGGGUGAGUAAUGCUUAGGAAUCUGCCUAUUAGUGGGGGACAACAUCUCGAAAGGGAUGCUAAUACCGCAUACGUCCUACGGGAGAAAGCAGGGGAUCUUCGGACCUUGCGCUAAUAGAUGAGCCUAAGUCGGAUUAGCUAGUUGGUGGGGUAAGGGCCUACCAAGGCGACGAUCUGUAGCGGGUCUGAGAGGAUGAUCCGCCACACUGGGACUGAGACACGGCCCAGACUCCUACGGGAGGCAGCAGUGGGGAAUAUUGGACAAUGGGGGGAACCCUGAUCCAGCCAUGCCGCGUGUGUGAAGAAGGCCUUAUGGUUGUAAAGCACUUUAAGCGAGGAGGAGGCUACUUUAGUUAAUACCUAGAGAUAGUGGACGUUACUCGCAGAAUAAGCACCGGCUAACUCUGUGCCAGCAGCCGCAGUAA
rnacentral:rRNA from 1 species